GUAGGUGGCAAGCGUUGUCCGGAAUUAUUGGGCGUAAAGCGCGCGCAGGCGGUUCGUUUAAGUCUGAUGUGAAAGCCCACGGGCUCAACCGUGGAGGGUCAUUGGAAACUGGAGAACUUGAGUACAGAAGAGGAAAGCGGAAUUCCACGUGUAGCGGUGAAAUGCGUAGAGAUGUGGAGGAACACCAGUGGCGAAGGCGGCGUUUCUGGUCUGUAACUGACGCUGAGGCGCGAAAGCGUGGGGAGCAAACAGGAUUAGAUACCCUGGUAGUCCACGCCGUAAACGAUGAGUGCUAAGUGUUAGGGGGUUUCCGCCCCUUAGUGCUGCAGCUAACGCAUUAAGCACUCCGCCUGGGGAGUACGGCCGCAAAGGCUG
rnacentral:rRNA from 1 species